rnacentral:rRNA from 1 species
AUUGAACGCUGGCGGCAGGCCUAACACAUGCAAGUCGAGCGAGCGGCGGACGGGUGAGUAAUGUCUGGGAAACUGUCUGAUGGAGGGGGAUAACUGCUGGAAAAGGUAGCUAAUCACGCAUACCAUCAGAUGUGCACAGACGGGAUUAGCUAGUAGGGGGGGUAACGGCUCACCUAGGCGACGAUCCCUAGCUGGUCUGAGAGGAUGACCGGCCACACUGGAACUGAGACACGGCCCAGACUCCUACGGGAGGCAGCAGUAGGGAAUAUUGCACAAUGGGCACAAGCCUGAGACAGCCAUGCCGCGUGUGUGAAGAAGGCUUUCGGGUUGUAAAGCACUGUCAGCGGGGAGGCGUUACCCGCAGAAGAAGCACCGGCUAACUCCGUGCCAGCAGCCGCGGUAAUAC